GUGCUCACUUUGGCAGCACAUAUGUGCAAAAUUGGAAUGACAAAGAGAUUAGCAUGGUCCCUGUGCAAGGAUGACAUGCAAAUUCGUCAAGCAUUCCAUAUUUUA
ensembl:snRNA U6 U6 spliceosomal RNA